UGGGGAAUUUUGCGCAAUGGGCGAAAGCCUGACGCAGCAAUGCCGCGUGAGUGAUGAAGGCCUUCGGGUCGUAAAGCUCUGUCAGAGGGGAAGAACCUCCUGUCGGUUAAUACCCGACGGGCCUGACGGUACCCUCAAAGGAAGCACCGGCUAACUCCGUGCCAGCAGCCGCGGUAAUACGGAGGGUGCAAGCGUUGUUCGGAAUUAUUGGGCGUAAAGCGCGUGCAGGCGGCUUGCUAAGUCUGAUGUGAAAGCCCCGGGCUUAACCUGGGAAGUGCAUUGGAAACUGGCAAACUUGAGUACGGGAGAGGGAAGUGGAAUUCCGAGUGUAGGGGUGAAAUCCGUAGAUAUUCGGAGGAACACCAGUGGCGAAGGCGGCUUCCUGGACCGAUACUGACGC
rnacentral:rRNA from 1 species